GCCAGUGUGGUGUAGUGGUUUGAGCAUUGGACUAUGACUCUGAAGAGCAGGGUUCGAAUCCCUGCUCGGCCA